GCCGCGGUAAUUCCAGCUCCAAUAGCGUAUAUUAAAGUUGUUGUGGUUAAAAAGCUCGUAGUUGGAUCUCGGCGGACUGAGGGCGGUUUGCUUGCUAGUAUUACUGCCCUAUAGUCCGUAGUUUUGCCAGAGGUUUCGGGGUGCUCUUAAUCGAGUGUCCCGGGAUGCUGGCAGGUUUACUUUGAAAAAAUUAGAGUGCUCAAAGCAGGCUAUUACGCCUGAAUAUUCGUGCAUGGAAUAAUAGAAUAGGAAGUCGUUUCUAUUUUGUUGGUUUUCGGAAAUCGACUUAAUGAUUAAUAGGGACAGUCGGGGGCAUUUGUAUUCAAACGACAGAGGUGAAAUUCUUGGACCGUUUGAAGACAAACUACUGCGAAAGCAUUUGCCAAGAAUGUUUUCAUUAAUCAAGAACGAAAGUUAAAGGUUCGAAGGCGAUUAGAUACCGCCCUAGUUUUAACCAUAAACGAUGCCAGCUAGCGAUCUGCGGACGUUUUUUUUGUAGACUCCGCAGGAAGCUUCCGGGAAACCAAAGCAUUUGGGUUCCAGGGGAAGUAUGGUUGCAAAGCUGAAACUUAAAGGAAUUGACGGAAGGGCACCACCAGGAGUGGAGCCUGUGGCUUAAUUUGACUCAACACGGGAAAUCUCACCAGGCCCGGACACUGGAAGGAUUGACAGAUUGAUAGCUCUUUCUUGAUUCGGUGGGUGGUGGUGCAUGGCCGUUCUUAGUUGGUGGAGUGAUUUGUCUGGUUAAUUCCGAUAACGAACGAGACUCUGUCCUGCUAAAUAGUGUCUGCUUCUCUUUUGAGCAGACAAUUCUUCUUAGAGGGACUGGCGACUCUUUAGUCGCACGAGAUUGAGCAAUAACAGGUCUGUGAUGCCGACGGCGGAUUCGUUAACUGGCAG
rnacentral:rRNA from 1 species